AUGUUUACUGGAAAAUCAUCUUUUGUUCUUCAUUUUUAUGAGUUAAUUGCUUUUAUUUAUCUCUCCAUGGCGGCGUGGCAUAGAAAAAAAAUAGGAGUAGGGUCAUUUAAGUCUCUGCGGUUUAUCAAAUUUGUCCACAACAAAGUGAAAUAUGCUUUAUUUGGUUCAAAUAAGCAUGGUUUAACCUACAAUUCAGAUGCGAUGAAGCCGACAUAUUUGGGCCAAUUUGUAAGUUCUAAGUUGUGA